GCAAAAAAUUUUAGACAAUUUUUUUUGUACCUUAAAUUCUGAUUUUAUUCGAUUCUUACUUAAUGUUAGUGAAAAGAUUUGAUAUGUUAAUUUAAAGAGUUCAAUUGGUCAUUCUACUGAGAUGAUGUUCUGUAAAUUUCGUAGGCGUAUCUCUAACAGUUUUUUUUUAAAUGGAUUUUGAUGAAAAGCCCCAAAAUUCGGACGCGGCAAAAAAAAAAGACACUCUUUUAAAACUUGUAAAAUUGAUUGUACGCCUUUGGACUCUAAUUGUAAGAAAAAGUUGUAGGUCUAGUAAAACUGGUCACAUAAAAUCUCUUACUGUUUCAUUAUUUGACUAAUGUGUAUAUAUGUAUAUUCAAACGUAUAUAUUAAAACCCAAUCAAACGAGUUCAUUUAGCCAUGUUUGUUUGUCGGGAUCAAAACAAAUUCCUCCUAAAUCUUUAAAACUACAACGCGUAAAUUUUGCAUCUAUUGCAAACAUUAUAUAUCUCGCAUAGAGAUGGAUCGGAGCAUUAUUUCACAUAGCUUCCAUAGGAACAAUCAAUUGAAAUUAGCGUUGUAAAUCAAUAACUCGGUUAUUUUUUACGGUAUUGACAUAGAACUUAAUUUUGAGUGUAGAAUUUCAUUUAGGUUGGGAACGUUUGGUUAAAAAUAGAGUUUUUUUUUAAAUUGUUAAUAUAUGUAACAUCUCUUAUUCAAUGCUCUACUUUUCGACUUUAGGGGUAUAUUUUUUGCUAUACAUAUUUAUACCAAAUGUAAGAGGAGAAAGUGUCAAUUUGCUAUUGUGGAUUAAGCCUUACUUGUGUACCAUGUUCCAUCGAAUUGUGCUGUAGGCAGUGACAAUAGCUCGUUUCCAAUAAAUUGAUUAAAUUGAAUGUUGCAUUGUAUGUAUGUUUGUUUGAAUGUAUGCAUGUAUGUAUGUAUGUAUGUGUAUGAUGGCAGCUCCAUUUACAUACGAAGACCAUGUUAUGUGGCAUGUCAAAGCUUUGCCAUGUCUGAUCGAUUACAUUGAUGAAUGAAUUUCAACAAGCUAUCGCUUUAUUGACGAUGACGACGACCACGACAACCAGAACAACAACAACAACAAUAACAACAACAACGACAGAGAAAAAACGAAUGAAGGCGACUCCUACACAGGCUCCAUGAGUUAACUGAAGAGCUCGACAUUCCUGGUAUCUAUGUAUCUAAAUAAUCAAAAAGUUAAGCUCAUAUCUACAUAAGACCACUUAUACAUCAUAUAAGCAAUACUCAAAGCUUGAGUUUAAGUUUCACUACAACUAAUUUCACUAUUUUGAGGACCCAAAAGUUAAAAUACUUUUGAUUACAUCAUAAAUAUGAACAAUUUAAAGCUUGCCAAUGAACUAUCUAAAUUGAAGGCUUUUAAAUAUAUCUUUUGCAUAGUCAUAGAGUA